AUGCUCCUCAGACCUUAGGUUACAUUAUGGGACAGUUUGAUGUACCAAGAAAACUAAAUUCACAUGAGAGUAAGGUCACCAAAGUUCCCGAUGGUCACUUUUUACCAGGAAUUUUUCCAAAAUAUGAAUCCCCUA